rnacentral:rRNA from 1 species
UUAAUAAGCGGAGGAAAAGAAACUAACUAGGAUUCCCCCAGUAAGGGCGACUGAAGCGGGAAUAGCUCGAAAUGUGAAUCGGUGUUUCGGCACCGAAUUGUGGUUUGAAGACACUCGCGCUACGUAGGUCGGGGCAAGUCCCUUGGAACAGGGCGGCAGAGAGGGUGAGACCCCCGUGUGCCUGACCUGUGGAGCGUGUGUCAACGAGUCGAGUUGUUUGGGAUUGCAGCUCUAAGCGGGUGGUAAAUUCCAUCUAAAGCUAAAUACCGGUGGGAAACCGAUAGCGUACAAGUACCGUGAGGGAAAGAUGCAAAGAACUUUGAAAAGAGAGUUAAAGAGUACCUGAAAUUGCUGAAAGGGAAGCGAAGGAAAGCAGUGUUGGCGCUGCCGCAUUUUCUUGUCUGCUUGCAGGCAGGACGCUGUGACAGGCCGUGUCUUGGUUGGUUGAACUGGUUGGAAGCGUCAGGAGAGCGUUGCUCUGUUGGAGCUGGAGCCAGUGCGACUGAGCUGCGACGAAAUGCUUUUCUUCUCCCCG